rnacentral:rRNA from 1 species
AUGAACGCUGGCGGCGUGCCUUAUACAUGCAAGUCGAGUGGGUUUAGACCCACGGCAAACGGGUGAGUAACACGUAGGUACUUUCCUUGUCACAGGAAUAACCCUCCGAAAGGAGGGCUAAUACCUGAUGUGAUCGCAAGAUUAAAGGGUAUCCGCAAGGAUUACCGGACAAGAAGAGGCCUGCGGCCUAUCAGCUAGUUGGCGGGGUAAAUGCCCACCAAGGCUAUGACGGGUAGCUGGUCUUAUGAGGAUGAUCAGUCACAUGGGCACUGAGACACGGGCCCAACUCCUACGGGAGGCAGCAGUAGGGAAUUUUGCGCAAUGGGCGAAAGCCUGACGCAGCGACGCCGCGUGCGGGAGGAAGGCCUUCGGGUCGUAAACCGCUUUUAUAAGGGACGAACUUUGACGGUACCUUAUGAAUAAGAGGUUGCUAACUCUGUG